GAGCGUGGCAGGGAUUCACCACAGCUCAACCAAGCCGGGAAUUUGGCUGCUCUGUGCUUCACUCUGCCCUUUGGGAAGGUCUAAAACUGAGGGAAAUCACACCAGGAUCUCCAGCACAGGAGAGGGGAUCUCACCUGCCUUCACCUCCAAGGUUUCCUCUGCUCAGGAUGGGGUGAAACUGGGAAUGGGGUUACCAGGAGUAGGGAACACCCAGCCCUGGCCACGGAGCCGGGUCCCAGCAAGCCCCAGGAAGCCCCAGCCCUCCCCAGGGCUCCAGGACUCACUUGCUGGCGAAGAAGGCGACCCAGGGGAAGCGAAGGUCGUGAGUGUCCACGAAGACGUUCUGCACGAAGAGGUUUGGGGAGCAGCUGUGCUGUAACGGCAACAGGGACGGGCUGAGCCGCUGCCAGGGGGGGAGGCAGAGCAGCCAGCCCUGCACAGCCUUCCCAAACAAGCAGCAUUCCUGCUGUGCCCGCCGCGUCCAGCGGGAUCCUGCUGGAACAGGCCGAGUCACAGGACCCACCCUCACAGGAACACUAAGCUCUCUACCCAGCACACACCCCCUCCGUGCUCCAGGACACCCUUUGGAAGGGGAUCCCACCCGUGGACACCGCGAUGGGAAUACAGCGGGACGGGCACCCCAUCCCACAGGAGAUCCCUGGUGGAUUUUUACACAUGGUCAAUCCAGGGGCGAUCCCGAGGGGCCGGAAUUUCGGUGGUGGGGCACAUCCUGAACCCACCCUGGCAAUAACUCAGGAUUUCAGACGUCUCCAGGCACAGCACCGGAGGGGACACACCCUCUGUCCCCUGGUUUUUGAGCCCAAACCUCCCCAGGUGGGAUGGGAUCACUCACGUGGCCGACAGACGGGGUACAGCUCCCACUCCUUCACGUACGACGCGUAGCCGUCGUCGAAGAAGAUCAGGAACCUGGAAAACAGGUGGGAAUUAGGAAGGGAGCUGAACAGAAAACAGCUCCACGUCACAGAAGGGAAGUGGAGAACCUCUCCUGUUGCUCCUGGGCACAUCCCAACCCUGGGGGAGCCCUGAACUAUGGAUAAGGCACCCACUUAGUGCCACGUGUCUCGGAGUAACGGCUCCGGGCGCUGGAGUGGUACAACAGCAUCAGCACCACGACCAGGAGGAAAUCUGCAAGGUGAGUAAUAAAUGCAGCUCAUUUCCCAUUAUUAAAUGUGGAUCAAGUGCAACUCAGCACAGUUCAUGGCAGAUCCAGAGUCAUUAAACCCUUCAGCAGCCUCUUCAGGGAAACCACAAGCCGUGAUUUUAAUAGACCGGAGCAGCCCUGCCCCUUAUUCCCAUAAAAGCUGCUCCAAACCUGCUCCUUCUCCUCCCAAAGUGCUUUGACAGCACUGCUGGCACUAAACCCUUCCAGGGCUCCCAUUUCCUCCCACUGCUUCACACCUCAGGCAGCCCAGACUCCACAUCUGGGUGAUAAUUUGAAUAAAUUAGCAGAUCUAAUUCCUGUCUCAGGGCCACGAGCAAGAGAGUGGAAGCUCCACCCUGAGGUUUCAGAGAUAAGAUUAAAGAAAGACUCAAAACUCGUUCCUGGGGAGGGCAGAAUUCAGCACCUGAAGGAUACUCAAAUAAGCUUUUUUUGCCUCAAACAAACAAAAAAAAACACCCUAGAGCUGGGGGUUCAUGACCCUGGGAAAUUAAGGAAUACCUGUCUUUAUUCUUGACGUUGGGGGUCUCAGCCACGAUGCCAGCAUAGAGCCACAUCUGAUUGCCAUCCUUGUACCUGGCCACCACCCUGCUGCCCACGUGGUGCCUCUCAGGACACGGGUGGUAGUCAUAGGCAAUGUGGUUGCCCGAGAGCAAACUCUUCCCCUUGUUAUCAAAUUUCACUUUGUAUUUCUUGCCAGCACCUGGGAAGACGUUUUUCAAGAUAAACAGAAAACAAACGGAAGGGAAACUAAAUAGAAGCCGAGCGGUUUCAUCCCAGAGAGGCAACGCCCGGGGUCAUUCUGAGCCUGUUUAUUCACAAUCAACUCAGAGUUUAUUUAAAAUCUCUUCAGAAUCCAUUUGGAGGGUGAAACAGUGGAGCUGCGUCGCUCCCACUGUCCCUUCCAGGUUUGACACCAGGUGCUCCGACACCUUUUAAUCCACGUCUCCCCCCCCAGAUCCCAGGGAAAGCCCCAGGCCCAGCACCUACCGACUGGUUUGAUGGCAAUCAAGGUCCCUUUGUGCCACGUUUUGGUUCUUUUCUUGCCCAAAAUCCUCAUUCCCACUUUGAGAUCCCCGUCAGUGUUGAGAUCAUCCCCAGGGGCCGCGGGGGCAACGGGCUGGGCAGUGCCAGGACAUGCCUGGGGGGGCUGUGCCUCUGCCAAGGAACAACAAUCAGUUAUAAAUCACCCAGAGCUCCCUUUUCUGCUGGAGUUACAGCUGGAAUCACAUCCCUCCGAGCUGCAGCAGGAGGAAUUCCUGCUUUCCUUCCCCUCAGGCAGCCCAGCUGCCUCCGUUUUACUGCAGGGAAAGGACUUAGAGAAAAACAGGAGUUUGGAAUCAAUAUAUCCCAAAUUAAAGGAAAAUGGGAAUUUGGAAUCAAUAAAUCCUAACAGAGCUCCCCAGCAAGGAAACUGGAUCGUUGUUUGCCUUUUUUGGGAAGCAAAGGCCCAGGGCCAGGCCACACCAGGGGGUCUGUAGACCCCUGGAAGGUCCCA